rnacentral:rRNA from 1 species
CUCCAGCUUGCUGGGGUGGAUUAGUGGCGAACGGGUGAGUAACACGUGAGUAACCUGCCCUUCACUUUGGGAUAAGCCUUGGAAACGGGGUCUAAUACCGGGUAUGCACAUACUGUCGCAUGGUGGUGUGUGGAAAGCUUUUGUGGUGGAGGAUGGACUCGCGGCCUAUCAGCUUGAUGGUGGGGUAGUGGCCUACCAUGGCUUUGACGGGUAGCCGGCCUGAGAGGGUGACCGGCCACACUGGGACUGAGACACGGCCCAGACUCCUACGGGAGGCAGCAGUGGGGAAUAUUGCACAAUGGGCGGAAGCCUGAUGCAGCGACGCCGCGUGGGGGAUGAAGGCUUUCGGGUCGUAAACUCCUUUCAGCAGGGACGAAGCUUUUGUGACGGUACCUGCAGAAGAAGCACCGGCUAACUACGUGCCAGCAGCCGCGGUAAUACGUAGGGUGCGAGCGUUGUCCGGAAUUAUUGGGCGUAAAGAGCUUGUAGGCGGUUUGUCGCGUCUGCCGUGAAAGCCCAGGGCUUAACCCUGGGUCUGCGGUGGGUACGGGCAGACUAGAGUGUGGUAGGGGAGACUGGAAUUCCUGGUGUAGCGGUGAAAUGCGCAGAUAUCAGGAGGAACACCGAUGGCGAAGGCAGGUCUCUGGGCCACUACUGACGCUGAGAAGCGAAAGCAUGGGGAGCAAACAGGAUUAGAUACCCUGGUAGUCCAUGCCGUAAACGUUGGGAACUAGGUGUGG